UGCAAGUCGAACGGCAGCAUAGGUGCUUGCACCUGAUGGCGAGUGGCGAACGGGUGAGUAAUGCAUCGGAACGUGCCCAGUCGUGGGGGAUAACGCAGCGAAAGCUGUGCUAAUACCGCAUACGAUCUAUGGAUGAAAGCGGGGGACCUUCGGGCCUCGCGCGAUUGGAGCGGCCGAUGUUAGAUUAGGUAGUUGGUGAGGUAAAGGCUCACCAAGCCUACGAUCUAUAGCUGGUCUGAGAGGACGACCAGCCACACUGGAACUGAGACACGGUCCAGACUCCUACGGGAGGCAGCAGUGGGGAAUUUUGGACAAUGGGCGAAAGCCUGAUCCAGCAAUACCGCGUGCAGGAAGAAGGCCUUCGGGUUGUAAACUGCUUUUGUACGGAACGAAACGGUCUGGAUUAAUACUCUGGGCUAAUGACGGUACCGUAAGAAUAAGCACCGGCUGACUACGUGCCAGCAGCCGCGGUAAUACGUAGGGUGCAAGCGUUAAUCGGAAUUACUGGGCGUAAAGCGUGCGCAGGCGGUUUUGUAAGACAGGCGUGAAAUCCCCGGGCUCAACCUGGGAAUUGCGCUUGUGACUGCAAGGCUAGAGUACGG
rnacentral:rRNA from 1 species